UCAAAAUACUUCAUUAAAACCUGAUUUUUUGUGUACAAAAGACUUGUAAUGUUUAUUAAAAGUCUGCCAAUGAUUGUGAAGAUACACAACGUGUAUUAAAAGUUAUAGUAUGGAAACUGUACCUAGAACAGAA